CAGGGUAUUGAAAAUGGUGUUUGUCCAGUUGUUUUUAGAAGCCACUUUGUCACAAACCUUGGCAAAAGUUAGUGUUCAGAUUCGUUUUUUGCAUUUUUCCACACAAUUAUAACAUUAUAAUAUGUUUUACCGCUCUAAAACACUCAUAUUUGUGAUGUCUGAGGAGUACAACACUACCCCACCAUGUACGUUUUAUAGGAAUUUGG